GACGAACGCUGGCGGCGUGCUUAACACAUGCAAGUCGUACGGUAAGGCCCUUUCGGGGGUACACGAGUGGCGAACGGGUGAGUAACACGUGAGUAACCUGCCCACAACUUUGGGAUAACGCUAGGAAACUGGUGCUAAUACUGGAUAUGUGCUCCUGCUGCAUGGUGGGGGUUGGAAAGCUCCGGCGGUUGUGGAUGGACUCGCGGCCUAUCAGCUUGUUGGUGGGGUAGUGGCCUACCAAGGCGGCGACGGGUAGCCGGCCUGAGAGGGUGACCGGCCACAUUGGGACUGAGAUACGGCCCAGACUCCUACGGGAGGCAGCAGUGGGGAAUAUUGCACAAUGGGCGCAAGCCUGAUGCAGCAACGCCGCGUGCGGGAUGACGGCCUUCGGGUUGUAAACCGCUUUCAGCAGGGACGAAGCUUUUUGUGACGGUACCUGCAGAAGAAGCACCGGCAACUACGUG
rnacentral:rRNA from 1 species